rnacentral:rRNA from 1 species
CGCACGGGUGAGUAACACGUAUCCAACCUGCCGUCUACUCUUGGACAGCCUUCUGAAAGGAGGAUUAAUACAAGAUGGCAUCAUGAGUUCACAUGUUCACAUGAUUAAAGGUAUUCCGGUAGACGAUGGGGAUGCGUUCCAUUAGAUAGUAGGCGGGGUAACGGCCCACCUAGUCUUCGAUGGAUAGGGGUUCUGAGAGGAAGGUCCCCCACAUUGGAACUGAGACACGGUCCAA